UGCAAUUAGGUGUUUGAUGCACAUAAAUUUUUGAUAUUUAAGGGUGAGUUUAAUUCUUAAAUUUGCAA
rnacentral:tRNA from 1 species